CCUACGGGAGGCAGCAGUGAGGAAUAUUGGUCAAUGGGCGCGAGCCUGAACCAGCCAAGUAGCGUGAAGGAUGACUGCCCUACGGGUUGUAAACUUCUUUUAUAAAGGAAUAAAGUGAGGCACGUGUGCCUUUUUGUAUGUACUUUAUGAAUAAGGAUCGGCUAACUCCGUGCCCGCAGCCCCGGUAAUACGGAGGAUCCGAGCGUUAUCCGGGUUUAUUGGGUUUAAAGGGAGAUGUGAGGGGUUGUUAAGUCAGUUGUUAAAGUUUGCGGCUUAACCGUCAACUGGAAAUUGAUACUGGCAGUCUUGAGUACAGUUGAGGUAGGCGGAAUUCGUUGUGGAGCGGUGAAAUGCUUAGAUAUCACGAAGAACUCCGAUUGCGAAGGCAGCUGACUGAACUGCCACUGACGUUGAUGCACGAAAGUGUGGGUAUCAAACAGGAUUAGAUACCCUUGUAGUC
rnacentral:rRNA from 1 species